ensembl:lncRNA
UUUUAAAAUACUCCAGCAACGUUUAGUUCCAAACCAAAUGAAAUGCUUUAAACUGACAUGGUUUCCGAAGUGUAACUUCAAGAUUUUGUUGCCCUUGGAAUCUUAGAAUCUUGGAAUCCUAGAACUGCAGAGCUGAAAGUGACCCGGUGGAUCAUCAAGGCCAGCCCCUGCCAAGAAGUCACAGUGGGGAAUCGAACUCUCAAUCUCUGUCUCUGUGACCAGAGACCUAAACAACUGAACUAUCCAGCCAUUAUUCUGGCUAACUAAGCACCAACUGCGGCCAACUGUUGCUACAGAAACAACAAUAACAGCACUGUGGAAGAAUUAUUUGAAGUGCAUUAGCAAUGUGCUGUUUGCUUACUAAGGUGUGUUUGGGCUACUAAACAAUGUGACCUCAAACUAUGCAGUGCCAGAGAGAUGUACCCAGUGUGCCUUGCAAUUAACCCAGCAAGCAUGGGAAUACAGAAAGAUGUCUGAAAAAGCGGCUUCCAGCAAGUCUGAUAUUAGGGCUUGUUGUUAUGUGCCAUCAACUCAGACCCAAUUUAUAAUGACCCUAAUAGGGCUUUCAAGCUCCCUGCCAAUUCAAGAUGAUGAGGGUGGAUGGAAAUGGUCAUGGUGCCAUACAGCAAACAUCUCUGAAAACUGAAGAAUUGCUAAGCCCUUCAACUGAAUGGGGGAAUGAGUUGUGGCAACCCUAUUGCUGAUACAGCUGGCCCAUGUUCAUCUUGUACCAUAUCUCACUGGGGUACUUCCUUUUCUAAAGUACCGUGUAGCAACACAAGAAGCAUCAGUGCAUUUACUCAGCAGCCUGCCCAUAUGUUUGUCUUACCCACACAGUAUUGAGCACAUGUCCAUCAUUUUCAGCCCUUUGAGUCACCAAAAGAAGACCCUGAGAGAUGGGGAAGGCAUCAAAAUCUUAUGCUUAUGUACUUUGCAUAUAAAAGAUUCCAGCUUCAGACCCUGGCAUCCCCAUGUCAGGAUAGAAAACACUGUUUGUCUGAAACCCUAGAGAAUGUUGCUUGUCAGUGUGGAGUAGAUAGCAUUGAUUGUGAUGGACUAAUAGUCUGACUUGGUACAAAGCAGCUUUCUGCUUCCCUAGAAAGCUUUCUGCUUCCCUAGCAGCUUUUCAGUGACUGCAUAUAGUCUAUAGAGCUAGAAAAACUUACUUUUAAAACUGUAACUACCAAUUAGUGGCAAUUCUAGCUGGGAGCUUCAGUCCAAAAAGUAAUAACAAAUCCCUACAUGAUCCUGAUUGACUAGAUUGUCUACAUGAUUUCAGAAACAAAUAGUCUACCAUAGCCAAAAUUCUAUUACUUAUGUAUGAUGGCAUAAGACAAACAAUUCUAAGCAUUUUAGUUGCCACUACUUAAGAUGUUGACACUUGUAUUCCUGUUUCAGUUGCAUGACUUGGCGCAACAGUCUACUUCUUAAGUAGCAGCAAUUCACCAUUGAUAUUUAGGCCAUAUUACUUACAGUGGCAUAAGUAUUAGGAUUCUGGUCAAAUUUUUUAAAGUUGACACAGAAAGCAACCAGUGUACCAAAUAGACCCAAUCAUAUCUGAGCUAAGCAGGACUGAGCCUGGGACCUGACCAGGAAAUACUGCGGAUCUCAAAGCAGAGCUAGCAAAGAAUCUUACCUGAAAACCUGGAGAGCCAUUGAAGGUCAGAAAUGACAAUACCAGGACCAACAGUCUGACUCAGUAUAAAACAGCUUCCUAUGUUCUAUGAUCAUAUGUUUGGGAAAGUGAUGGUGUCUAUCAAGUAUUGAAUAGGCAACAAGGUGAAUAAUGGGAGUUGACAAGUAUAUCAGUACCCCAUGAACACUACUUUAAGCUCCCCUCCCAAACCCUCAAACCAAUGAACAGUUUUACAUAGUUCUCGCACCUACUCCAGAUACUGUGGGGUUGGCACUUAAUUCUGUCCCAGUGUAAGGAAGAGAAAUUGGGGCAUCAUUUUUCAACUGCUCUCAGGGAACAUUAUUAAUGAAAACAUUAGCAGAACCAAAGGCUGUUGGCUACUUCUGGCCCCCUGUGAGCUUCAUCAGGGAAAUCCUAUUGAAAGUAUAUCAAUGGGGCGCGGGGUGAUAUUACAAAGUAUAAUGAUGAUAGAAACAAUAAAAACAGAAUUAUGCUUCUUUUUCA